UUUUGGGUUGGUCUCCAAUGCUUUGGGUUUUACUCUUUGAAACAGAGCUGUUGCAUUUUGAGCUUAGCUCAUGGUUAAAGGUUUUGGAUCUAAUAACAUAUUUUUUAUUAUUUUUUUUGAACUAAUACAUGUUAUGCUUGAGUUGUUACUUCUGUUUGUUUGAGUCCUUAAUGGUUAGUUUUUCUUGUAUUUGGAUUUAAUAAAGCUUAUUUUCUUGCAUUUUCG
rnacentral:misc_RNA from 1 species